UGUGACAGAAGCAAAGAAAACGCCCAGAACCUGUUCUGGGUUCAGAUGGUUAUGGCAGCUCUGUCAGAAAAUGACUCAUCACAGAUCAUGAAAACUCCACCGCAACUCCACAGCUCCUCUCAGACUGGAUUUCUGUCUUCAGGCAGACAGCACAAACCUCACCUCGGAGCCCCCGUGGACCCCGUCUCACUCCUCCGCCCACCAGCCACCCACCGCCAACGCCGGGACGACUCGUCAGCCUGACAGGAUUAUCUAAAUCUGGGGAGAUUUACAUCCAAACAGAGGCCAGACUGUGAAAAGAUGGACUCCCGCUGUUGUGAGACACCUUAUCUGCCAGACAUUUACAUUCAGACAGACUCACAAAAAUGGACAACACUUACAUAGCGCUUUUCCACGUUAGCGGCACUCAAAGCGCUUUACAAUGUUUUCUCAUUCACCCAUUCACACACACAUUCACACACCAAACGACUGAUUGAGUUAAAAACAACGCUCUCAGGAUGAAGCUGUUUCAUGAUCGAUAAAGUAGCUUAAGUGGUUGGGUACUUAGAAUUAUUUACACCCUCUUUGUUAAGAUUCUCUGCACAUAGCUGCAUAAAAAAGCAUCAAUAUGACUACACUGUAAAAAAAAUUUUAAAAAAAUAAAAAUCUUGUAAAAAUUUUUUUUUUAAAUUUUUUAAAAAAUGAUGAAAAUCUGGCAGUCAGUGUGCCAGAAAAAAAAAGUAAAAAAAAAAUUAAAACAGUGAAAAUACCAGCAGAAAUCUGUAGAAUUAUGAUAUUUUUAGCUAAUUUAAACACUGUAAAACUUUAUCAUUUUAUAGCCACACACUCUAGAAAAAAAAUUAAUAUAUGUAAAAAAUAAAGUAUUUUUUUGUUGUUU